GCGGGGGACGGGCCGGGCCACCGCCUGGCCCUCUCGGAGGACGGGGGCCCCCCGCGCGGCGCCUACCUGCCCGGCGCCCCGGGGACCCCUGCGCCGGUCCGAGCUGGCGCUCUCGGUGGAAGGAGGGCACGCACGAGUUCACUGUGACUCCCCGGCCCGGGGCAAGGAGGCGACACUUCCGUCGUAUUCAGCCGCCUGCUUCCAGGGCGUCUUCAUCGGGGCGUAAGGAUGGGCCUCGGGCGUCCACGAGUGCCCUGUCGUUGCCUGAAAAACACUAGGUGUCUGCAUUUUUCUGGGGAGAAGUCUAUACUUUUCCAUAUUACCAAAGGGGUUUGUGACCCCCCCAAAAGUUAAAAGCUGGGACAAAUCUCCGCUACCCCCAAGUGAUGACCGGAGAGCCUUCCUGGCUCUUUCUGGUAGCUUCUCCCGCGAGCCUUUUCCAGACUACAGCUACCCACAAUGCGCAAGUUCUCCAUCCCCGGUGCAGGCUCUGGCCCUCGAGGAAGGAUGCCGUGUGGAUCCUGCAUCCCAGAGCUGGAAACUAAAUGACCUGCAGGUCCCGGUUCUGCUCAGCUGUGCGGUAAGACCGGGGCGGUCAGGGGCUGCUCAGUGCACAGAUCAGCUGACCCAAGGCGCUUUCUCGACUUAGGAUCUUGGCUCACAGUUCCAAAUUUCUGUAAUCACGAAAGGAUGAGAGCCCAAGACUGGAGAUUUCUGAGAUUCUCAUUGGAGCACUGGUCAAAAUGCGCUCAUCUCCAUGUUGCUGUGGGUGUAAGGUCAGUCUGCAUGAGGAAAAUAAGACUCAAGCUUCCUUCCUACUGUAUCCUCAUCCCUUCACUAAGCUCCAACAAGCUUCCUACUGGCAGGAAGAUGCCAACAUGAAUAAGAUAUAUAGUUCCUGUCCUCAGCAAACUUACAGGCAAGGUAAAUGACCAAAACUAAGUGUGACAAGCACAGAUUGCUACAAUGACACUGAGGAAUGGCACCUAACUCACUUGGGGGUAGAGGGCAUGGAGGAGGUGAGGGAAACCGCACGGUGUUGGGGCUGAAUCUUGCGAGUGAGGUGGCAGUUAGGACAUUGGAGGGCAAGAGGGGAGAUACCAGCCGGGGCCAGGGCACCAAGUAGUAAUGACAAGAAGUUCCACUAGCACUCUGAAUCCUAAACCACAACUCUUAAAGCAAUAGUAACAAAAAAUCAUUUUGCAAGUUCUUUUCUUACACAUUCAGAGGAAAAGGCUCUUCAUAGCAACAUGACCAGGGAACAUAAAUUCCAGUGCCUGCAGGGACAUGCAUGUGACGGGGACACAGGUCAGUUGGGUACUAUGAACUAGAGAAUGCGUGCACCAUCUAAACAAGGAGACGCCACUGAGCGCCUUGAAGGAAUGUGAGUCCCAUGUGGCCGAGUCUGACUUCGAACAUGAAUUUUCAUGUGAUGCCUUCUGUUAAAUUAAAUUUAGGCCUAAGGAUCCCUCCACACUUGAGUUCUUGCUAAGGAACUGCUACUGAAACUAACUGAAAAUGUAACUGUUGUAGCAGGCGGAUGAGUCUUAGUCAAUCACAGCAGCUGAGCUCCAUCAAUUGCAGGCAGCCUGCUGACUCAAACCAGACCUCCAGCUGUAACCAUUGAAGCUGUCCCUGGGCGUCACUUCUGGUUUUUGUCCAUAAGUGUCUGACUGUGUUGCAGCCCUGGAGUUCUCUGAGCCUGUUCUGGUUCUGAGGGCUGUCCCAUUCUGAAAUGGUGAGGUGUGUACCAGCCUGAGGACGAGUGCACAUGUUGGCAGCUUCAGCGCACACGGCUGCCUAUUCCAGCCUCACGGCGUGUCCCCGGCUCUCCGUUCCAUUCCGCCACCUUGGGAGGAUCACCAGGACUUGCAUCUGCUGCAAAGUGUGAGGCCUGGAGCCGGAGCCUGCGAAUUCUCUUAGCACCUUGAUGAGUGAGCAAAUCCUCAUUUCCUCAUUUUAUGUACAAGAAAUUUAACCGGAAGAGGGUCAAAGUCUGACUUACGCAUCCAGGUUAUGUUACCUACUUGGCCUCUGCAAGGAGCCACUGCGGAACCAGCACCUGUGGGUACCGCCCAGUCCACAUGGGCGAAUGAGUCUCCCCUGUUGGUCAGCACCAAGGGGGCUCCUGGGUCUGGGGGCAGGAGGGGUGGUGGCUAGGAACCACGUGCACUUUCACCAGGUCAGCUCAGGAGGGGAAGCAAGGCAAGGAGCGAAGUCCUGGGGCUAGGGGUGGGGGAUAUGGGCAGGGCCAGGGGGAUCUGGGGACCUGUCAACUGGAUCCAGUACAAAGAGGUGUAGAAAGCUUGGAAUCAUUGCCACAAAGACUGGGGAAGUGGGUGCCUGGGAAAACCCAGCAGGAUUUCAGGGCUUCAUUGAAGCCCCAGCUGCAGCUGGUGAUCUCGUUAUCAAUGGUGACUUCCUUUAAGGCCCACCUGGUGCUGAUUUCCUCCCGCUGAAUGGGCACUGCAAGCACGAGAAGGCAGUAUUGACCAGAGACUGAGGGCUCCUGGGCAGAUGAGACAAAAGGUCAGGGGAGCAAAUUAGUUUAGGACAAUGGAUCUCAAAAUCUGAAUCCCAAUGCCCAGGCUGAACCUCAAACCAAUUAAAUCAGAUCCAAAGCAGGGGUUUGGCCUCAAUAUUUUUUAAAGGAUUCCCGAAAGGAUUCCACUGUACAGAAAAUGUGUUAACCAGAGGUUUGGAGCAUUGGGAUGAGAGGUUAAAAAGAUGGACCCAUGGACACUAUGCUGAAUCAGCUCCAGCUUCUUCCUGGAUCCAGCUGCAUUUUGCCCCUUGGUUCUGUGAAUUACGCCUGCAUCCUUGUAAUAAAUUCCCUUUUGGGGGCUGAAACUAA